ACACACCUCUCUGGGCAGGGAAAAACAGCCUUCCCAAAAAUGUUGCGUCAUUCACACCAAAAUCGCUCAGUCAGUCCAAUCUCCUAAUCCACUGAACUCCGCUUUCCGGCAAAUUGAUACUACAAAAGCAUACCGAACUGAGUAUUCGAACAGAAGCCCAAGAUAGGUAACACAUGUAUUCGAAACAUGACAAAUGUAUCUAAAAGUAAUUAUAUAUUCCACAAUUUCCAUGUAUAGAAGAGUCCUCCAUGGAUGGGUUCAACAAGGAGAUGAAAACUUCUAUAGACAAACAUGACAUAUACAGGUGAUGCCACAUAUGAGUGGCCCUUGCAGAUUUUCUCUUACUGUGUUUGGUGUCUUUGCGUUGGAUAUUAACAUUACAAGAAAACAAGAAAGGGAGAGAAUGGUUUCUCUUUUACAGAAAAUGAAGUUUGGCACUUUGAUCUUAUGAAGGGGAAUACAUCCAUCAGGCUACGGAAAGCAAAUAGGAGGUUGGCUUGAGGAUGGAAACGUUGGCAAGGAACAAUCAUGCCAAGGUAAAGCAUAUCCGCUCCAUCCCCUGCCUGCAGAUUAUCUAUUCCAAGCUAAAUCAUAUCUUGGGGGCCCAAACUUCCGUAAAAAUACUGUGAAUUUGUUAAUCCUUUUCUGAAUAAUGCAACUUUCUUGGUCACAUAAAAUGCAUAUGCAUAUGUCUUGUGUUUUAGUGUAGAAUAUGCACUGUAACUUUACUCUAGCACUGAAAUUGGGUGUUAUUCCCACUGCGGAGAUAAUGCUAUAUUUAGGGAUUCCAAAGGGUAGGAAGCUUUAGUGGGGAAAGCGCUCCAAAACUUUUACGCUAUGGGGCAGGCAACAUUGUUCUCUACGUUUUACCAUAUUGGAUACUAUAUUUUUGUUGGGUAAAUUCAAGUUUCAUAGUACCAAGGAACUAAUUAAGACAAGUGGAGAUAGGUUAUAAGAUAAUACAUUGAAAUGUGGAGCAAAGCUGUAGCAAUAAAAGGCUUUUUCCAUUGUUUUUUUUUUUUUUUUGCAAAGUACUCAACAAUUGACAUUUACUUUUGGUUGUAUUUUUUUUUUUUUUGCUCGGCUACUUUUGGUUGUAUUAAGAAGAAAUGCGGUUCCUACCUCAACAUAUGAAUGGGGUAGGAUAGUCCACAAUCCAAGACUACUUGCAUAGCCUGAGCAUGUACCUCUAGCUAAAAAAAAAAAAAAAAGGAAGUAUACACAUUUUCUUUUGGUUGUAUUAAGGCAUUGUAUGAAAAUUUUGGGAAGAUCAAAAGGAAGUCUAUGCAUUUGAUGUGUUUUGAUCAUGAAUUUGUUGCCUUUUACGGAGAGUAAGAAAGGUAGCGAAAAAAAUUUCCUAGGCUUCCUUACCAUGUUUCUUUGACUAAUAACUCCAUUCAUAGAUCCAUGGCAUGAACACAAUCUAUGUGCUCAAUGUCAUUGGAAGGGCUCAAAUCAUUUAGAUUUUUAGAGUUAGACAACAUUUUCAUUAUAGAAAUAAAGCGUUGGAAGACGAAGUUUAGAAGAGAUUGAAUUUCUUGAGGAAAAAAAGUUUAUGCACAUUAAAAGAAGGAUUAGUUAGUAAAGUUGACUCUCUGAUAUUCUUGAUGAUUCACAU